rnacentral:rRNA from 1 species
CAAAAACCGAAUGGAUUCCCAGCUUGCUGGGGGAUUAGUGGCGAACGGGUGAGUAACACGUGAGUAACCUGCCCUUAACUCUGGGAUAAGCCUGGGAAACUGGGUCUAAUACCGGAUAUGACUCCUCAUCGCAUGGUGGGGGGUGGAAAGCUUUUUGUGGUUUUGGAUGGACUCGCGGCCUAUCAGCUUGUUGGUGAGGUAAUGGCUCACCAAGGCGACGACGGGUAGCCGGCCUGAGAGGGUGACCGGCCACACUGGGACUGAGACACGGCCCAGACUCCUACGGGAGGCAGCAGUGGGGAAUAUUGCACAAUGGGCGGAAGCCUGAUGCAGCGACGCCGCGUGAGGGAUGACGGCCUUCGGGUUGUAAACCUCUUUCAGUAGGGAAGAAGCGAAAGUGACGGUACCUGCAGAAGAAGCGCCGGCUAACUACGUGCCAGCAGCCGCGGUAAUACGUAGGGCGCAAGCGUUAUCCGGAAUUAUUGGGCGUAAAGAGCUCGUAGGCGGUUUGUCGCGUCUGCUGUGAAAGACCGGGGCUCAACUCCGGUUCUGCAGUGGGUACGGGCAGACUAGAGUGAUGUAGGGGAGACUGGAAUUCCUGGUGUAGCGGUGAAAUGCGCAGAUAUCAGGAGGAACACCGAUGGCGAAGGCAGGUCUCUGGGCAUUAACUGACGCUGAGGAGCGAAAGCAUGGGGAGCGAACAGGAUUAGAUACCCUGGUAGUCCAUGCCGUAAACGUUGGGCACUAGGUGUGGGGGGACAUUCCACGUUUUUCCGCGCCCGUAGCUAACGCAUUAAGUGCCCCGCCUGGGGGAGUACGGCCGC